UGGGGAAUUUUGCACAAUGGGGGAAACCCUGAUGCAGCGACGCCGCGUGAUUUAGAAGGCCUUCGGGUUGUAAAAAUCUUUUGUAUGGGAAGAAAAUGACAGUACCAUACGAAUAAGGACCGGCUAAUUCCGUGCCAGCAGCCGCGGUAAUACGGAAGGUUCGGGCGUUAUCCGGAUUUAUUGGGUUUAAAGGGAGCGUAGGCCGUUUGGUAAGCGUGUUGUGAAAUGUAGGAGCUCAACUUCUAGAUUGCAGCGCGAACUGUCAGACUUGAGUGCGCACAACGUAGGCGGAAUUCAUGGUGUAGCGGUGAAAUGCUUAGAUAUCAUGAAGAACUCCGAUUGCGAAGGCAGCUUACGGGAGCGCAACUGACGCUGAAGCUCGAAGGUGCGGGUAUCGAACAGG
rnacentral:rRNA from 1 species